UCGAUGAAAACAUCGAUGCAUCGAUGUUUUUAAAUUUUUUGGAAACAUCGAUGCUUUGUGGCAACCAUCGAUGUUUUUUCCGCGACACUAAAGUAAAGGAAACGCAGAAGAUAUUCAAUUGGUGGUGUAGGCAACGUCGGUGGAUGUGUGGCAAUGGAAAACUUCCUAAACCGAACAACUAAGGAAAAUUGCGAGUCUCUGGCUCCUGCUACGAAGAGGAAGCGCGAGACCUCGGACGUGUGGCAGCAUGUCAAGAAAACGGCCGAUAAUAAUAAAGCAGUAAGCAUUUACUGCGGAAAAAUGCUUAAGACAGGUGGAAACACUACCAACUUGUGGGACCAUGUACAGAGAAAUUCAUCCAAAGAAAGCAACAACAGACAAAGUUUCUGAACCAACGAAGUUGGAUGCGUUUGUGUUGCGAAGUGUCGAGUAUGUUUAUGUUUAUCAAUAAGAACCAAACCAUUUUUUGUUAAACUUAUAGAAAAGUUUUGAAUUUUUUUUGCUUUUACGAAUAAAGCUUUUAAUUUUGUUAUGAAA